UUGGUCCUCGCCGUCAACUAAUUCCCCCGCAAGAUUGCAAGAGUUGUUACAGAUGAUGUAUUCAAAUCUGCAACACUUCAAUCCAUGUUGUACAAGUUAAUUAUGAUGAAAUUCAAUAGUUGACGAAAUUCUUAACAUGAUAAGUAAAUUUCUAAUUUUCUUUUAUUAACACACUACAGAUAUAUUGAUAUACAUGGAAAUAUUUUCAACCAAAAAAACAAGAAGUAUGUCUUUGUCAUUGUUAGACAGUUCGAACAAUUACCAAUUGCGACAUUCAACUCAAAAGGGAUGAGGAUGAAUACUACCAUGAGUAUAUGCAUUUGAAAAAUGCAGAAUCUGCUUCAAAUGUUGUUCUAAUUCAUCACAGUAUUGUGAAGGGGAGAGAAGCUUACAUCCAAAUCAAGCGAUUUAAUAAAGGAAAAUGAAAUGGAUAGUUGAUUUUAAGAGAUAUUUUAAGAAACAAAGUGAACUUGAGGCAAAAAGAGGUAAAGAGCUGAAAAUGAAAUUUAUGGCAGCGUAAGUAAUUUUUAGGAACGCGCCUGGAGGACCGCAAACGCACCCGAAGGACAACAAAUGACGAAUCCUGGUCAAUGCAGGAUUGCAAAUGCGCCAAGAGGGCCGUAGACGUGUUAGUCCUAUCAACUCAAGUUUGCGAACGCGGACUAAUCUCCAUGAACAUGGAGAGUCACGCUUCAGGCACUUAUUCACCCGUGCAGAAUGGGAAUUUAACCAAAUUGACAAACUUUAUGGUUGUGAGUCUCGGGAAUUGAUGAGAAAGCUUAGGAGCGUAUAUGGCAGCAGUACAUUGGACGACGAGGAUCUCACUAUUCCUACUGGCUUGAGCUCAAAGUGAUGCAGUUCAGAGAGUCCCUCGUAUUCUCUUUUGAUAUUUGGAUUGUGGGGACACAAUGUUAUUUUAGUUUGGGGUGCCUCCCUUGUAGUCAUUUUGUUGAUUGUUUCUGCCUACUAUGAUUGUGCCCUUGCGGGUGUACUUUUAUUUCUUUGUUAUGGAUUUAUGUGCCCUAGUUGGGCUUUGAUAAUUUGGAUGAUUUUUAUUGAUACAAUGUUGGAUU